GACAGGGAGAGAGAGACAGUGCAUGAGUGGGGGAGGGGCAGAGAGAGGGAGACACAGAGUCCAAAGCAGCCUCUAGCCUCCGAGCUGUCAGCACAGAGCCCGAUGCGGGGCUUGAACUCACGGACUGCGAGAUCAUGACCUGAGCUGAAGUUGGACACUCAACCGACUGAGCCACCCAGGUGCCCCUAGUAUUUUUGAUUUCUGUCUUCAGUUACUUAUUCCAUGUUUCUUUGAGUUCAGCCAGAACAUCAGUGGAUUAGUCUUUUAGUAGGUGGAAAGGUCUAAACCUUCAUUGCCAUCUGAGCUACUGGUGGUCUGUUUAUUAUCACAGAAAUCUUCCAUUAACUCCUACUAUAUGUAGUAUUACCACAGGGUUCCAUCCAUACUUCUCCCAUCCUUUAUCAUGCAGCAGCAAGACUGUUCACUCAGCCAACACUCUAACCCUCCCCACACCUUCCAAACCACUGGAAUCAUCACUGUGUUCCUCUUGUAUUUCUCCUUUGCUCACUUCUCAAUCAGCAAAGCCCAGAAUCACAGGGAAUGGAGGCAGAGAUUUGGGGUCACUGAGGUAUUAACAGAGGAGUGCUAUCCCCCUUCCUCUUUAGUUCCCAGACCCUUGCUUAUAUAGAGGCCGUGGUCAUGAAUUCACAGCAUGUAACAACUGUACUGUAUUUAUUCCAACCUCACAAAUCGCGGUCUCCUUGGAAGGCCAGCUGAUUCAGGGUGCUGGGUGUUUAUGUUGAAUAUAGUGAAUUCUGCUGGCAUAGCCUACCAUCUUCCUCUUCAAUGUGAAGAAAAUUUUGUGAUCAGAAAGCAAGUGUCCAAUGGGAUAACUUAACAACAUAAAAACAUGUGAGUGAGUCCUUGAAAGAUGGUAUUGGCAGAAAUUUGGAGGACAAAGCAAACCCAAUUCCAGAAUGUGCCCCUCCAGGGAGGACAAAUUGCUGCUUCUUCCCCUCUGCUCAUUCUAAGAAAUCGGACCAUACUUUUCCCGCAGACCUCCUCACUGCCAGUGCUCUAGUCCUGCUCUUACAAAUCUCUGAUCUCCAGGUUAUUAGCCACAGACUAUGGAUUAGCAUGGAUUUUUAUAUCAGUCAUCUCUACCUCCUGCCACAAUGGAAGAGACGUGUUGCUCCAGAAUUCUGCUGCCUUGGAGGGUUUUCUGUGUCCACUGGUCAUCAGGGCUAGUAUAGUGACAGUGCCUUCACUUAGACGGGUAGGUCACAAUGGAGUUCUGGGUCUCCGGGAAUUAACAUUAGCACAGGCCCAGUGUCUCUGAUAAUCUCCAGAAUGUCUGGUUAUUUCUCAGGAUACCUGGACAAUGGUCUGGUGAGUGGCUUCAGGUCCUUUGGGGAAAACUUGGAGGAAGCAAGAUCCAUAGCAAGUACUUAUGAUGUUAUUUCAGGGCCCUUUCCCUAGACACCUGGCUUCCUCUUUCUUUGACCUAGACCUGAGACUGGGUCAGGUGCCAUGACUAUGUUGUGACGACUCCAAUCAGACCUUUGUUUAUUAAGUGGAAGAUUUUUAAAUUCUAAAAAUCAAAUAGGAUCUUUGACCAUCUAUUUUGGUCUUCAGGACCCCACAAUUAGUUGGGCAGCACCAAAGAACCCUGCGGGUCAGACCCUUGUAAUAAAUGCACUGUCUUCUGGUUAUGGUAGCCACAUCCACCUGGCUUCACACAUUGCAGCUACCUGGUCUCUGCUAUCCCAGGAUCCACUCAUCCCCACUGAAACCAGAAAGCCCAUUUGUACUGCAAUGUCUCCCUAUCAAUUGCAUCUCCCACCAGUUGUCACAGUUUCUACGGACAGAGUCACUCAACAAUCUUUCCAGCACUCUCUCCCUUGCCUUCCUGUGCUCCUUGGCAAGUGAAUUACUGAGUCACAUGAUUUCCAUUACAGCCACACAUGGCUAUGUGACAUAGUUCUAGAUAGCACAAGGAAGUAGAAAUCCCUGGGACAGGCUUUCUUCCUGAAAUGAGGGCACAACGUUUAGAGAUGCAGCAACCGUCUUCAAACAUGAAGGUGAGAACCAUGGGUGACUGAGGCAGUGCAAGAACACAAGGAGCCUGUUUCCCUGAGAGCACCACUGAGGUGACCUACUAGCCCUAGAUGUCCUAUGCCCAGAUUUUUUUAUAUGCUAGAGACAGAUAAACCUCUUGAUUACUUCUCUGAGUAGGGUACCUAUUACAACCAAGAUCAAUCCUAACAAAUACACCAGUGUAUUUCUAAGGCCUUGUUGAGGGAGUAUUUUCUGACACCCUCUCUAUCUUGGGGGACAUGGUUGGGUAGUGGUAAGUUGGUGAGUUAGACAUGAUUCAUUCACUCAACAUGUCUAUCUCACAGUCUUUGAAUUUCUUCUUUUAUGUUACACAAAGGUAUUUCAGCCAUCUCAGUGAGGUAGGAGGGCUAAAAGGACUCCACUUAUUUUUAUUUAUUACUUUUUCAAAGAAAGUUUUGGUUUAUCAUUUAUUUGAGAGAAAGAGCAUGUGCGCACAUGAGCAGGAGAGAGGGGAAAACGGAAACAAACAGGCUCCACACUCAGCACAGAGCCCUACUCGGGGCUCUAUCCCAUGACCAUGAGAUCAUGACCUGAGCCAAAAUCAAGUCAGAGGCUUAACUGAGCUACCCAGGUGGGUAGCUACCCAGGUGGGACCCCUAAAGGGUUCCAUUUUAUAAAGGCUCCAUCCCUGCUGUUUUUCUGCUAGGCCUCAUUUACUUGUAUUCCAUAUUUUGCCUCUGAAGAAGCCCAGGCAGCCAUGUUCUCACUUCAAGGAGGAAGCAAGAAAGUCAAUCCUUUCCUGAGUUUUGUCCUAGGGCCCCAAACACCUGAUGACAUCUAAGAAGAUCCAGAUCCCAAACAUGUUCUAAGACAUUAGCUUCAAACAAAUCUUAGGUUACACUGGCAUCAAAACCCCUUACCUUCGGUAAUUUAUGGAAUAACACCUGUAGUUCACCUGACACGCACCUUUGGUCAGAUCCUACCCUGGAUUCCCCCGGGGGAACAUGUACCCUAGAUUCCUCCCUUCCAGUACAAACCCCUAACCCCAAGUGACAGACAUUCUUUCCUUUCUGAGUCUCCCAGACCUCCAUCUGCUACUCUCUACCUGUCACACCACUCAAUAAACUCUGUUUUCACUUUCUCUGGCUCACGUUUGAUUUCUAUCCUGCACAAAGCCAAGGACCCUCCUCUGGGUCCUUGGACCUGGCUUACCCGCAUCAUAUUUUGAUGACAUGAAGGAACCCUUAGAGGAACAACGGUACCCCAAACUACAUCUGUGUAGUACAAUUUGACCUCCUCACCAUGCUGGGGUACUGGUAUGUUCCUCCUCUGGGAAACAGAGUUGGAAAGUACAGGGUUACUUCCUAUCUCUGUACUUUUUCUGUGAACUGGACUGUUCUCUGGGAAGAAGGAAAUGUGGAAAAACAUGUCUGGGGACCUGUUCUCACUCUCUCCUCUCCUGGUGCACCUCCGGGGAUCCCAAGACAGCAGAAUCUCAUGGUGGUGCACCAGGGCUCACUGGUGCAUUUCCCCGGGCUAGUAACUCAGAUGACCACAGGAGGUUCCUCCUGCUCUCUGUGUGCUCUGCUGGCUCCAAGUUUUACUUUCACCACAAACUCUCUCCACUCUGGCUUCUGGACAAUUUCAAGGUUGUUGGUUGGCAUAAGAGACUGAGUCACUAGCUCUGAAGAAAUGGGACUCUUGCUUCUUUUCCCCAAAGGGAACAGUCCUAUAGGGAACUCUCUCUCAUGGCAACUAAUUUCUGGCUCGGCCAGGAAUGCACAUGGAAGGAUUGAUCAUCCAGUGCUGUGAUACACCCCUACAGCAGUUUUAGACUGCUGCUUGGGAGAAACCAAGACACAUCAAAGAGGAAGAUCAGUUCCUUGGUGACUAUCUGAGAAGUUGUCCCCGUAAGUAGCCCAUUCCACCCACCACUUUGUUCCCCUAGAAUAGACUCCUAACUGUCUCUUUACUUUUUUGUCCACUGUCAGGUGACUGUGUCAUUGCAGCUCUGGUACAUCAAGAUUGAAUUGAGGCAAUUCCGGGACAGUAGAACUGCCUUAAAGAUUGUUGGACAAUCCUGUUGUUGGACCAAAGGAUGGUCCUGCCGCCCCAGUUGUGCUGGGUUAUUGGAUGAUGGUAGAGGAGACACAUGGCGGGCUGGAAAUGUGGCAGGGUCCACUGGGGCCUUUGCCUGUGGGGGGAGCCACACAGUCUCUACCAAACAACCUCCCUGCAGUGGAAUCGCCUCUCCCCAUGUGGCUCAAGGACCCCUGUAUUCACUCUGCUCCUGGGGAUUUGCCCUUCUCGCCAGAGCACUGUCAGGUAUUGACUUGUGGUGUUUCAGACUCUGUGCUACCCCUGUUUAUAGAGUCUUAAUGGAAUUUAAACGCUCUCCUUUCUCCCCUUUUAGUUCAGUCCUUGUGGCUGUUUUCACUUUUCCACUUUCUCUCCAGUUGCUUUUGGUGUUGGGGUGGGGGGGGGGCUUUCCCAUACUAUCGCCCAUCUUUGUCCUCUCUUUGCAAGCAAAAACAGCUCCCUGCCCUCCAUGGUUUCUCUCUCCUGUUCACCUCUCUGCGCCUCGUACCUGCUGAGUUCUGUGGUUCGGGUUGUGUAGAUUGUUGUGCUAAUACUCCAAUCAGUUUUCUAGGUGUGCAGGAUGGUUUAGCAUUGAUCUGGCUGUAUUUCAUGGCUAAGAGACACACACAAAAAAACCUUCCAUGCUGUUCUGCUGUCUUGGCUCCUCCCCUUGGUUUUUAAUUUUUCUUUAAGUUUAUUUUAUUUUUUUGACAGAGAGUAUGUGCACAUGGGAGGGGCAGAGAGAGAAGGAGAGAGAGAAUUCCAAGCAGGAUCCUCACUGUCAGCACGGAGCCUGACUUGGGGUAUGAUCCCACACACUGAGAGAUCAUAACCUGAGCCAAAAUCAAGAGCUGGAUGCUCAAUUGACUGAGUCAUCCAGGCACCCUGGUUUUAAUUUUGUAUACACAUUUUACUGACAGAUAGAAAUUUAAAAAUUUUGGGGGGUACCUGGCUAGCUCAGUCUGUAAAGUCUGUUGAGGAAGAAAGUGAAAGUUCAAUCUUUAUUUUAAAAGAUACUACACAAGUAUUUACCAAUUUAUAAACACAUGGUAUUUAUUGUUUUUUCAAUAUUUUCUAACUUUAUUAAUUAAUUUUUAAAAGAUUUUAAGGAAUCUCUACACCCAACAUGAGGCUUGAACUUACAACCCCAGGACCAAGAGUACCAUGCUCCCCUGACUGAACCAGCCAGGCCACCCCAUUAUUUUUACAUUUUAAUAAGUAUCUUACAUUAAGUAUUUCUUUUCCCAAGUAGCCAUUCUUUGAAAUUUUCCUAAAAUCAAGUAUAUGUUGAUCAAUCUGUUGCUCCAAAUUAAGAGUAUAACCUUGGUGUUUUCUAUUUAUACCAUUAGAAAGCCCCACAUUUAAAUGUUUAAAUGAAAUAAAUCCAAAGUGAAUACAAUAUGAAAAAUACAUUUUAAUCCAAAAGUUUGAAUAUUGGCACUUAGCUAUUUACAAUAGUAUUUACAACAAAUUUUACUGUAACUUUUGUAGAGAUAACUAUGUACAUAGAGCUAUCUACAGUUGCUUGCUUCUAACAUACAAACCAUCACUGUGUAGAAAAAUGUGAACAGGUAAAACUGCUACAACUCAAAAUCACUACGAUUAAAUAAGAUUCUGACAAAUUUUCCUGGAGUUGAAAAAUGCUGGUUAAGUCACAACAGAAUUGGAGGCACGAGUGUAUGGUCCCCACUUCUUCCCAUUUUCACAUUGUUGUCCCCUUACUUAGCUGGCCUGCAUUUGAAGUAAAACUUACACCUGAAUUCUGGACAAUUUCAUAGAAAACAGGGCUUCUAAGUCUAAGACUUUGUUUUAGGCCUGUUACUAUGACUCUAUAGCAGAUGGUAGACUUUUUGAAGAUAUUAAAUGCUUAUGGCCCAUUAAUCAUUUUUAUGACUGCCAAAAGGUUGUUCUAAUGGUAGUCAAGAAACUACCAAGUGGGAUGCCUGAACACUAGGUGUCUCCUAUGUGCUUUUCAUGAAGUUCAGUCUGCUCUACAAAAUUUUAUUGUUUGAUUGGAAACCUUAGUUUGAGAAAGGGAGGUAAAAACAAUGAAGAAUGAGCAGCUCUGUUAAGAUCAACAAAAUAAUUCUGAAUCUGUUUGCUGCAGAAUAAAGUUUUAAAAAGCCCAGGCUAAUACAAUCAUCCAUCUAUCAGUUUCUUUAAGGUUUAAGUAGCCAAGAGUGUACCUAGCAUUUUCUAGAUGAGAAAAUAAAGCUUGUGUAACUUUGUGAUAGAUACAGUUGGUCAUAGCUAUAUUUUAUUUGAUUAAGUCCUUAGUCAGAAAUCUAAACCUUAAUUACCGUUUUGUUCUUGUAGAAAACUACAAUCCAUUUAGAGAAAUACAAUCCAUGGAGAAAAACAGAUACCACCUGUUCCUAAUGGUCUCCCUGGAAAUUAUAGCCUUUGCCUGUAAUUUAAUUCCUUGUUAUCCCUUUUCACUUUCCAAGUGACUAGUAAUAAAUAAGCUACUGGUUACUGGGUAGUAGGGAAAAACUUCUUAGUCUUCUUUCCAUCUAGGAAUUUCAU